UUUGCUACGCAGCUGCUGAGAGAGACAGGUCGCAAAAUGCAACUUGAAUCAGAUGGACUGUAAAUAUGCUAUUUUUGAGCAAAUAAAGUGCUACUAGGAAAGAAGAAACGUGUGGGACCUAUUUACUGACUGCCCUUUCUACACGAACUGCUGUGCAAUUCUGCUAAUUGCUUUACGACCUGCAGAGGUGCAGGGGAGCGUGCCGGACCAAGAGUAAAGCAAUAAAUCUUAUCCUAACAUGGUUAUGGACAUGGUUAUGGGUCAACGUGAAGCGUGAGGAAGGGCUUUGAAGUUUUAUCUGCUGAUCGUCAGCUUGAUCGACUGCCGGAGACUUCAAAGAGGCAGAUCGGAGGAGGCUGACGGAGGGCUGGCAGCCAAGAGCCAUGACGUCCGGAGUUCCCAGUUUGGCUGAGUGAGUACCUUUGGGAAAAGCCAACAGAAGGGAGGGCAAUGGCUCAGCCCUGUGAACAUGGCUUUGAGCUUAAGCUGCCAUGUCAGAGACUGACUAGCCAAAAUUGGCUGCAGUGGAGCUUUCAAGUGGAGCUUUUGCUGGUGGGGGAGCAGCUGUGGAAUGUAAUUCACCCCACACAGAAUGCAGCUGGGAAAGCAGAGGCUGAUAGGGCUGCAGAGCAAAGUGAAGUGGAGAAGCGUGUGCUUGCUUUUUGGCAGAAAGUGUGGAUGCUCAUCUGGUGCCUGUUGUCCUGGGUGCAAGAAGGCCAGAGGCCGCUUGGCUAGCACUCCAAGAAGCUUGUGGAGCUGGAGUGGGAAGCAAGGGCCGAGAAGUGGCUGCAUCUGAAAGGGAGAGGCAAGAUGGCGCCGGCCACAUUCUUGAGUGCCGAUACACAGCUGGGCGGAGCUGUGAGCCCCCACAGGGGGGCGAAGGGACUGCUGCUGUUGCUGUUGUUGCUAGCAAUGCUGCUUGUGCUUUUGCUGAGCCUGGGAGCUGUGUGAAUGCUGCAACGUGUCUGUGUGAGACGCCUGGAGAGAGGCCAAGUGUUGAGAGCCCUUUACCCUUCAGAGGGGGUGCACGAAAACGUCCUGGAGACCCCAUGAGCAGUGGGGGGGCAGUGAGCAGUGAAAGCUCAGAGACGCCUCUUUCUCCAAAAGCUGCCAAGAGUUGUUUACGUCGUGAGUCGGAGCCUGGGAAGCUGAAAAGUGCUAGAGGCUUCAAGGUCAGCCACCUGCAGCAAGUAGAGAUAAGCGCUUCAGAGUUGUGUGGGAACGCCGAGACAAGUCCAGUCUCCAUGGCAACUGAGAGAGUUGCAUCUACGGAAGCUGUCAAGGUCGUGGGCAAGUCUUCCUGCCGGGGGGAGUCUGUUGCCGUGACAACCAGAGAGGACAUCUGCAGAAGCCCCAAGGAGGGGGGUAGUGAGGAGAUUGUUGCCCUGGCGACCCAGGAAUGUAAACAACAAGACUUUCUCACUAUAAUAAUCGACAGUGGUGCGUCAAAUUCGUUAGUGCCAUCUCCUGAUCUUUUGAGGAAUUGCAGGACAGUAAAAACUGAGAAGUUUGUUAAGUUUGCAGAUGGAAGCAGAAAAAAGCUGACAGAAACAGGACUGUUCUUCUGUCCUUUUCUUAAGCAUGAAGUCAAAGCUUAUGCAGUGCCCGGUUUAACUAACUGUUUGUUAAGUGUGCAUGAUCUAUUGAUUGAUAAUUUUCAAAUUUCUUUUGCAGGUGACAAAUGUGAAUUUUCCAAGGAUGGGAAACACGUGUACACAGUGCAGUCUAAAGAUAAUUUGUUUGCUGUAAAUGUGCCUUUUUCCACAGGAGAGGAUGACACCGAAGAUGCGAAGGGCCAAUGUGUGAAUGUAGCGCCCCACAAUGGUUGUUCACAUAUUUGGCACAGACGCUUCGCUCAUUUAAAUUGGAAAUUUCUCCAGAAAGCACCAGAGCUGACACAAGGGUGCAAAUUUAAUGUUUGUGACAAAUUUCUAGAUUGCAAUGCAUGUAAACAGGCGAAAGUUGUGACAUGCUCAUAUCCAAAGUCAGAGAGGCAGACCACAGCAACCCUUUGAAUUAAUUCAUGCAGAUUUGUGUGGACCCAUGUCUGUUGAGUCACUGGGAGGUUCGAAGUAUUCUUUGCUUUUGAUUGAUGAUUUUUCGAGGUCUGCUUGGACCUUCUCUCUGAAAACGAAAGGGGAGGCGGCUAAAAUGAUCAGGGAUUGGAUCACCGCAGUUGAGGUAACCUUUUCCACCAAAGUUCGUGGUUUUCAAAGUGACAGAGGUGCUGAAUUCACUGGUUCUGCUUUACAGGAUUUCUUUAGGGAGAAGGGGAUUAGCCACAGACUGACCGCUCCUUACUCUCCGCAACAGAAUGGGGUCGCAGAGAGAAAGAACAGGACGGUGCAGGAAGCUGUGUCUGCGAUCCUGUGGGACGCAGGGCUACCCCAGAAGUUUUGGUCAGAGGCCUGGCAGAUAUGUGGUCCAUACCGAGAACAGAGUGUACAACUCUAGUGUAGGAAAUACACCGUAUUUCUUACUUCAUGGAGAGAAGCCCAAGGUACACUACCUUCGUGUGUUUGGUUGUGAGGCUUGGGUGCUUAUUCCAAAGGCUCUACGCAAGAAAGGUGAGCCAAGAUCUAAAAGAAUGAUCUUUGUAGGGUAUGAGCCUGGCUCAAAGGCCUGGAGGUUUGCGUACCCAAGUGGAGACCAGUCUAGGUUGGUUAUCAGCAAUAGCGCUGAGUUCUGUGAGCAAGCUGGUUGGAAACGUCUGCACGCUAAUCCAGACGUGCUUCCACAGCAGUUCUAUGACUCAGAGCGAGGAGGAGGAGGAACUUGGUGCUGGGGACCACGGUCCAGAGGGACAGAGUCCAAGGCAGGGACAGCUCAGGAUCCCUCAGAGGGGGGAACCUAGAACACCUCCUCAGGCAAGUGUCAAGUUUGAGCCAAAGAGUGAGCCUUCUUCACCUGCUGGACCAGCUGUAAGGCCCAAGAGGCGCAGCAGGUCAGAGGGGGAAGACACUGAAGUUGAGGAUGAUUUAGCUGGACCCAGUGAAGCGGCAGGGUCACCAGGAGUCACACUGAGGAGAUCAGCGAGGACAAGGAGGCCUCCUGAUCGGUACGACGCUUCAGGCGUCUGGGUAGGUUCUGCAAGAUGUGAACCUGAAUCCUUCGAGGAUAUUCAGAGUUUACCUGAGGAAGAAGCAGGCAAGUGGCACAGGGCAAUGGACAAAGAGAUGAAGUCCAUGAAAGAUCUAGGUGUGUUCUCACUCACAGAGUUGCCACCGGGAAGCAGGCUGUGAGUUCCAGAUGGGUUUACCGCUUGAAACCCACUGACGCUGGAGAGCCGCAGUAUAAAGCCAGGUUAGUUGCUCGAGGAUUUACUCAGAGGAAGGGAAUACACUUCACGGAGGUGUAUUCGCCAACGUCACGAGCGGAGACUCUGAGAACGCUUUUAGCUUGUGCAGCACAGAGAGGCUGGAAGGUAAACCACUUUGAUGUGGAUGUUGCCUACCUUAACUCAGAUCUCCAGGAGGAGCUGUACAUGAUUCCUCCUCCGGGGUUUGAGAACUCAAGGCAGGAUGUUGUGUGGAGAUUGCACAAAUCCAUCUAUGGAUUACGUCAAUCUGCUAGAAACUGGAACAUGUGCCUGAAUGAAGCUUUGGAGAAGCUAGGUUUCAGGAAGAGUCUUGCUGACAGUUGCCUGUUCCUUAGAGGAUCAGGAGACUCACAGGAGCUGGUGCUGAUUUGGGUUGAUGACGUGCUUUUCGUCUCAGAAACAGAUGAACAGGCGGAGAAGUUUGCCAAAGAGCUAGGUAAACGAUUCAAGCUUAAACAGCUUGGUGCUGUCAAAACCUAUCUAGGUGUCAAUGUUGAGCGUGCACAGGAUGGAAGCUUUUUGCUCAGCCAGAGAGGUAAAAUUGAGCAACUGCUUCAGAAGUUCAGGAUGAGUGAUUGUGCAGGAGUGAGAAGUCCUAUGGAGACUAGUUUUGUGAAGGACAGCCAGCAAGCAGAACGCGCUGCGUUCGAAAAUACUGAAGUGUUUCAGUCAGCUCUAGGGAGUUUGUUGUACUUGUCCCAGUGGAGCAGACCUGAUAUAGCGUUUGCUGUCAAUCUGCUCAGCAGGGAAGCAUCAAACCCUAGUGUGCAAGCCUGGAAUGGCAUCAAGAGAGUUCUGAGGUAUUUGCAGGAGACCAAAGACUUUUGUCUUAGGUUGCCAGCACAAGGAGAAGUCAAACUGACUUGCUUUGUGGACUCGGAUUGGGCUAAUCUUGAGGAUCGCAAGUCUGUGUCUGGCCUAGUGGUGAAGUUUGGGAACUCAGUAGUUGGAUGGAGGUCCAAGAAGCAAAGUCUGAUAGCGCUCUCAUCCACUGAGGCUGAGUUUAGUGCUCUUUCAGAGAUGUGCAGAGAAGUAGAGUUCUAUGCUUGUUUGGUGCAGGAACUCUGCGAAGUGGAUUGUCUGCCGAUACGUGUUUUCGAGGACAAUCAACCAUGCCUGCGUUUGGCAGAGUCAGGUCAGUUCAAGGCCAGAACGAAACACCUAGACAUUCGCUUUCGGAAUGUGUGCCAGAGUGUUCAGGAGGGAUUAGUUGCGCUGAAGUAUUGUCCCUCUGCCAAGAACCUAGCUGAUGGGUUCACGAAGCCACUCACCUUCCAAAGACAUGGGGAGUUUUGUGAAGGUCUGGGUUUGGGACGACCAAGGGUCGAUUCUCCCCUCAGGCGCGAGACAAGUGUGGGUGUAGUGAAGGGUUAACCUUCUGUGUCUCGAGGCUGAGAGGAGGCGCUUACAAGGGAAGUAAGCCAGGACGUGACGAAAGCAGCUUGGAAUGCUGUGAGCUGAGUGGAAAGUGAAAGCAGCUUUGCUACGCAGCUGCUGAGAGAGACAGGUCGCAAAAUGCAACUUGAAUCAGAUGGACUGUAAAUAUGCUAUUUUUGAGCAAAUAAAGUGCUACUAGGAAAGAAGAAACGUGUGGGACCUAUUUACUGACUGCCCUUUCUACACGAACUGCUGUGCAAUUCUGCUAAUUGCUUUACGACCUGCAGAGGUGCAGGGGAGCGUGCCGGACCAAGAGUAAAGCAAUAAAUCUUAUC
rnacentral:lncRNA from 1 species